rfam:Paraliobacillus sp. PM-2 genome assembly, contig: CONTIG000003
UCAAGAUGAGACUUCCCAUCUUUUAGAGUAAGAUCCCUCAGAGACGAUGAGGUAGAUAGGUUCGAGGUGGAAGCGUGGUGACACGUGCAGCUGACGAAUACUAAUCGAUCGAGGACUUAACUAU